UGAGAGUUCUAUGUGGGGGUUAGGUGUGUUUCCAUGGGCUUGCGUCAAAAGGAAGAUCUCAUACAAACAAUGAAGGAUGACGUCAAGUGGUGAUCAUCAUCAAGAUUGCAAUGUGCAAGUUCAAGUGGAUCAGCACGAAUAUAUCAUGCUUGAAGCUUGCCGUCCAUUGUGGUGGCAAUCGACUUGUGAAGAUAUGCUGAAAAGUGGCUCGCCCAUAGUGAGUACGGGGGAGCAAUCAAUUAGUCUUCAUCAAGCCAACACAAUGAAGAAAGGUGGUACAUCUUGAGGAAGCCAAGAUCAUCAUCAUCUAGCUCAAGAGGACGAGGUGCAAGGUAUAGGUUUGCCCUUGAUAGGUUUUAUAUUUUAGGAUAGAUUGCCGUUAUGUCAAGGGGGGCUCUCAAGUGAGUAGCUCGAUCGUAUCAUUCGUUGAGAGC
rnacentral:lncRNA from 1 species